rnacentral:tRNA from 1 species
GCCUGAGUGGCUCGGUCGGUUAAGUGUCUGACUUCGGCUCAGGUCAUGAUCUCAUGAUUUGUGGGUUCGAGCCCCGCGUCGGGCU